rnacentral:rRNA from 1 species
GACGAACGCUGGCGGCGUGCUUAACACAUGCAAGUCGAGCGGUAAGGCCCUUUCGGGGGUACACGAGCGGCGAACGGGUGAGUAACACGUGGGUGACCUGCCCUCAGCUCUGGGAUAAGCCUGGGAAACCGGGUCUAAUACUGGAUAUGACUCCAUGACGCAUGUUGUGGGGUGGAAAGCCUUGUGCGGCUGAGGAUGGGCCCCGCGGCCUAUCAGCUUGUUGGUGGGGUGANGGCCUACCAAGGCGACGACGGGUAGCCGGCCUGAGAGGGCGACCGGCCACACUGGGACUGAGACACGGCCCAGACUCCUACGGGAGGCAGCAGUGGGGAAUCUUGCGCAAGUGGGCGAAAGCCUGACGCAG